rnacentral:rRNA from 1 species
GGCACACGGGGAGUGCGUGACGUGGUAAGCAGUGAUAGUGUGGUUUAGGUGGCGCCAAGGAGGCGUCAGCGGACGUUGGGAUAGGGGAAUGGCGGUUUGGGGCGUCGGUGGCGUUCGGGCGUUGGCGGGAGGAGGAGGUAGGAGAGCGCGAGGGGAGGGUGUAGAGUAGGUGGGGAGAAGUAGAGCCUGGCCUAGUCUCUGCACACCCGCGCCUCCGCUCGAAGAGGCCGCCGCCGCUGGACGUCCGUUUCCCGCUGCCGUCGCCGCGACCUAAACUACGUCGCGGUACCUAGCGGGGGACGACUCUCUACUCCUACGACCUGACGGUAGUAAGGAGGAAGUGACACGCCACGGAGGACGCUCACAGUGGAGCAGGGUGGCCGAAGGUCGCGGCACCUAGGCGGCCCUACCUCCCGUUGUUCACUCUCCCUCGUCCUCUUCUCCACUUAGCUCCCUCACUUUCCUCGAGUGUGCCCUUCCCCGCGGAGGAGGGUACUGCCGUGCUAGUCGCCGAGAACGAGCUGGGGUACUAUGUGUUGUGUCACGGCCUCGACCCAGUUCCUCGACCGAGACGGAAGCGGUAACGGACUCUCUUCGUUGUGACCACAACCCGCAAAACAACAUAGGAAAGGUAGAGUACUACACUAAGAAAGAAAUUCUACUUAAUCAUUGAAACCCACCUCCACCGUCGUGUUGGACGACCAACAACAUUACGGAUGGAGUUUCUCUAAAUUGACGAAUCUUUUAAUAAAAAGAUGAACCGACAAAACGUGUACUACUCCAUACUGUACCUUACCAACCUAAAAAUCACCAUCCACUAGGAAUACGGCCGCCACUAUCGCUGGUGGUGACCAUAUGUUGUUAGGUCACCAACAGAGUACACACGAGGAUAGGAGGGGUGGAGGGGGUCUACGAAUUACAAGUCUUUUGAUUACUAAACCAAGAACCUACAAGUAUGUAUUAGAUCCAACAAGAACUCGAGGUUCCGACCGGAAUCCAAUCGUUAAGCCGUAGCCGUGUGAAGCUUAGAUAUGGGGUCCGCAAGUUCUGGAUCGCCCCGACCCGGUUGGCCAGGAAGUACAAGUUCUAUACCGGGACUACUCGGGAUUGUUGGGCACGAUGGCCGGCCCGUGGAAGAAGGACUCGGCCCAGGCCUUGGUCUGGUUGUCCCUGUGUGACUCGCUCAUGAACACCGUACGACAGUUCAGCCUCCCCACGUUGGUCCGUCGACGGCACACACAGGUCCAAGUAUAUCAGUUCCACAAGCGAGUAGCGGGUCAUGCUCACCUUUGCCCGCUGUACCACUGUAACGACGUUUUGUUGCUCCUUCCUUGUAUACCAACUGUGACUACGUACAUUACCCAAUAUGUUAUAUUGAAUUAAAACUUACACAGUACAGGAUAUGCAUAUACAAUAUUAACUCGGAAAACAGUCGGAGAUACAAUAGACUCAAAGGUCUAAAAAACGAACGACGCUAGGAAUUUAAAAGACCAACAAUCGUUAUGAUUUGAAACAGUAGAAG